GAUUGUUAAACAUCAUAAAACAAUAAAGUCAAACACAUCACGGACUAAAAUUGAAGGCUAUAAAGUUAAUGCCGUUAAAUAUGCUGUAGGAUAGGAUACCCCCCACCCCAACACACCACCCCCUUUUGGUGGUAGGUUUAAAUUAAUGGUAAUGUGAUAGGUUUAAAUUAGAUUUCAGUAAAGGUAAAGUAUAUAGUUAUUUCAUUUUGCUAAACCAUGCCUACUAACUCAUAUAACUUUGACUUUAAUUCAAGUAUGAAAUGCCCUUCCCAUUGAAUAUUGAUGUUAGUACUUUUACUUUAUAUGAUGAACGAUCUUAGCACUUAGCAUAUUAAGUAAUACAUUACAUAGUACAUUAUUUAUAUCUUAAAAAAAACUAAUUAUCUCCGGUCUCAAAAUAAGCAACAAAAGAGAAAUAUAUUUAAUGGUCUAAAAUACAAACAAUAGUAUUAACUACUUACUGUCAAAAAAAAAAGUAUUAACUACUUCUACCUUAAUAAAAUUUAGCCGUUCAAAAAAAAAAAACUACUUCUAAGUUCUACCUUAUCUGAUUGAUGAUAUUAUUUUUUAUUACCUUCAAUUAAUUUAAAUUUUAUUUUUUACUGUAGUAAUUAUUUUAUUGUCAUGGAACAAAUUUUUAUAAUGGACAACUUAAACACAAUUACAAAAUUAAUGAGAUUAAUUAUUUUUCUUAAAUGGUAAAGUAAUUUUUUUUCUUUUUUUUUUUUUUGACUCAAAAUAAGGAUAUUCAUUCAUUCCAAUAAUUGAUACAGUACAUCA
rnacentral:lncRNA from 1 species